AUGGCCUCCUCCUUUGCAGCCGCCCACCGCCGCCUCUGUCCCCGCGUCAAGGUGGUCACUGUCGUGGGGGCCACCGGGUGUGGCAAGUCCCGCCUCUCCAUCGACGUCGCCUCCCACUUCACUUCCGAGGUCAUCAACUCUGACAAGAUGCAACUCUACCGGGGCCUUGACAUCACCACUAACAAGAUCCCCUGGCCGACCGCCGCGGCGUCCGCCACCACCUCCUCAGCUCCUUCGACCCGAACGAUGGCGAGAUGACCCCGUCGCAGUUCCGCUUCCACGGCGACGCAGCCAUCUCCGGCGUCGCCUCCUGCGGGAAGCUUCCCUUCCUCGUCGGCGGUUCCAACUCCUUCAUCCACGCUCUCCUGGCGGAUCGGUUCGACCCGGAGGCAGACCCGUUCGGCCGGCUUGGCUCGCUGGCGAGCCCAAAGCUGAGGUACGACUGUUGCUUUCUGUGGGUCGACGUGUCGCCGCCCGUCCUGGCGGAGUACCAGUCGAAGCGGGUGGACAAAAUGCUCGACAUGGGCGCGUUUGAUGAACUCGCCGGAUACUACGACCUCCGCCGGACUGAUCCGGAGGGUUGGACCGGGCUGAGGAAGGCCAUAGGCGUGGCCGAGUUCGACCGUUAUUUCAAGAAGUACCCGCCGCCGGGGGGGGUGUGCCCGGCCAGCCCGUGGCGGUGGGAGGAUGCGAGGAAGCGGGACGACGAUCCGGUGCGGCAGGGUGCCUACAAGGAGGCGGUGUGGGAAAUAAAGAAGAAUGCGUGCCAGCUGGCGAAGCGGCAGAUUGAGAAGAUCCAGCGGCUGAGAGGGCGCGGGUGGGAACUCCGUAAGCUGGACGCGACGGAAGUGGUCCAGCUGGCGAUGGCGGCCGAGGAGGAGGGAGGCAGCUGCGUCAGGUGGCAGGGCGUUUGGAACAGGCAGGUCGUUGGGCGGAGCUUGAACAUCGUCAGGCGGUUCUUGCGCGAGUAG